rnacentral:misc_RNA from 1 species
AGCGGCAAGAGCUCAAAUUUGAAAUCUGGCCCCUCCGGGGUCCGAGUUGUAAUUUGCAGAGGAUGCUUCGGGUACGGCCCCUGUCUAAGUGCCCUGGAACGGGCCGUCAGAGAGGGUGAGAAUCCCGUCUUGGGCAGGGUGCCCGUGCCCAUGUGAAGCUCCUUCGACGAGUCGAGUUGUUUGGGAAUGCAGCUCUAAAUGGGUGGUAAAUUUCAUCUAAAGCUAAAUACCGGCCGGAGACCGAUAGCGCACAAGUAGAGUGAUCGAAAGAUGAAAAGCACUUUGAAAAGAGAGUUAAACAGCACGUGAAAUUGUUGAAAGGGAAGCGCUUGCGACCAGACUCGGCCCCGGGGUUCAGCCAGCACUCGUGCUGGUGUACUUCCCCGGGGGCGGGCCAGCGUCGGUUUGGGCGGCCGGUCAAAGGCCCCAGGAAUGUAUCGCCCUCCGGGGCGUCUUAUAGCCUGGGGUGCAAUGCGGCCAGCCCGGACCGAGGAAC